GACGAACGCUGGCGGCGUGCCUAACACAUGCAAGUCGAGCGAGGAACUUCGGUUCCUAGCGGCGGACGGGUGAGUAACACGUGGGCAACCUGCCUUGUAGAGGGGGAUAGCCUUCCGAAAGGAAGAUUAAUACCGCAUAACAUCACGAAAUCGCAUGGUUUUGUGAUCAAAGGAGCAAUCCGCUACAAGAUGGGCCCGCGGCGCAUUAGCUAGUUGGUGAGGUAACGGCUCACCAAGGCGACGAUGCGUAGCCGACCUGAGAGGGUGAUCGGCCACAUUGGAACUGAGAAACGGUCCAGACUCCUACGGGAGGCAGCAGUGGGGAAUAUUGCACAAUGGGGGAAACCCUGAUGCAGCAACGCCGCGUGGGUGAUGAAGGCCUUCGGGUUGUAAAGCUCUGUCUUCAGGGACGAUAAUGACGGUACCUGAGGAGGAAGCCACGGCUAACUACGUGCCAGCAGCCGCCGUAA
rnacentral:rRNA from 1 species